GUUUGCUUCAACCGACACAGCUAAAACUGGAACAGCCCAGAGAUGAUUAGCACAGCCCCUACACCGGAGGGCACUCACAUCUGUGAGGCGUUCCACAUUCUU